CAGUAGCCGCGGUAAUACAGAGGGUGCGAGCGUUAAUCGGAUUUACUGGGCGUAAAGCGUGCGUAGGCGGCUUCUUAAGUCGGAUGUGAAAUCCCUGAGCUUAACUUAGGAAUUGCAUUCGAUACUGGGAAGCUAGAGUAUGGGAGAGGAUGGUAGAAUUCCAGGUGUAGCGGUGAAAUGCGUAGAGAUCUGGAGGAAUACCGAUGGCGAAGGCAGCCAUCUGGCCUAAUACUGACGCUGAGGCACGAAAGCGUGGGGAGCAAACAGGAUUAGAUACCCCCGUAGUCCCUGUCUCUUAUAC
rnacentral:rRNA from 1 species